rnacentral:siRNA from 1 species
AAUAGUAUCACAGCCUAGGUUGA